UACGAAGGGUGCAAACGUUGCUCGGAAUUAUUGGGCGUAAAGCGCACGUAGGCGGUAUUGCAAGUCGGAUGUGAAAUCCCUCGGCUUAACCAAGGAAGUGCAUCCGAAACUGCUGUACUUGAGUACGAAAGAGGAUCGCGGAAUUCCCGGUGUAGAGGUGAAAUUCGUAGAUAUCGGGAGGAACACCAGUGGCGAAGGCGGCGAUCUGGGUAGAUACUGACGCUGAGGUGCGAAAGCAUGGGGAGCGAACAGG
rnacentral:rRNA from 1 species